ensembl:lncRNA
UUAACAGAACAGACUUGUACAGGCCUUGUUGAAAUCUCUACUCAUCUUAAGGAUUCUUUGGGGGUGGCUUAAUCUAAUUACAUUAAGAUGCCUUGUCUCUUUGGAGAAGUUUAUCAAACAGCACAGUUGCUGAUUUCCUUUCCCUGAGACCCUUCAGAAUGGUCUCUGAGGCUCCAGGUUUCAAGCGUCACCAGUUACACAUGGCCACUGGGUCUUGGGACAAUUCUGUCCUCCACCCAUUUUCCCAUCUUCUCCUACCUUUCAUGCUGAGCUGUGCUUUGUAGGACUCUACCCCUCCAUCACUUCCACCAGUCUUUAAAGACUCCUUCCUCUCCAGUCCUCUCCUUUACUCUGGGCUUCCAUCCAGGGCAACCUUUUGUGCUGUCCACAAAUCCUGAGAACAAACACAUUUAUAAGGCUAGGCCAGGUGUCACCCCCAUACCCACAGUGCUCUCACUUUCAAACCUGAUUCAACUGUGCCUGGGCAGGUGUCUGGCGGCUGUGGCAGAAUGGCUGAUUGGGGCUUGUCAAGCAGCAUGUUGGUGUUCCUGUGCUGUGUAUUCAUGUAAUGGGUACAUAACUGACUAUGAAGAAGGAGCAGUUGAAUGGGUCCUGAGACAGAAGUAGAACUUCAGUGCCAGCGAGAUGGCUCAGGGAGUUACGGCACUUGCCACCAAGCCAGGAUCCACAUGGUGGAAGGACAGAACUGAAUCCCAAAAGUUGACCUCUGACUUCCACAGUGUACCAUCCCUCCCCUCACUACCUCACAAGUAAAUGUCAUUUCAAAAGAAACUGAUCCUGAUACAAAGGCCAGUGCCCAAGGGGCUGCCACGAUUGCACUUUUCUCUUAGAGUGUCUUAGUCAGGGUUUCUAUUGCUGCGAUGAAACACCGUGACCAAAAAGCAAGUUGGGGAGGAAAGGACUUAUUUGGCUUACAUGUCCACAUUGCUAUUCAUCACCAAAGGAAGUCAGGACAGAAACUCAAACAGGGCAGAAUCCUUGAGGCAGGAGCUGAUGCAGAGGCCAUGGAGGGGUGCUGCUUACUGACUUACUCAUCAUGGCUUGCUCAGCCUACUUUCCUAUAGAACCCAGGACCAUCAGCCCAGGGAUGGCUCCACCCACAAUGGGCUGGACCCUUCCACAUUGAUCACUAAUUGAUAAAAUGCACUAAUUGAUAAAAUGCCUCAUAUGGAGGCAUUUCCUCAACUGGGGCUCCUUCCUCUCUGAUGACUCUACUUUGUGUCAAGUUGACACACAAAACCAGCUAGUACAUAGAGGCUCAGUUCUGAAGUUCUACUUAAUCAUUUUCUUGAUGGUUUCACUGUGGAUCUAUAUUUCCAGAGUUCACCAUGAAUCUGUGUUUACAGAGACUAUGAUUCUGGUUUUGUUUAAUGUUUUGGUCCUUUUAAAAGGCAUGAGGUUGUUUGAUGUUGUUUGUUUGUUUGUUUGUUUGAACUCAUUGUGUAGCCCUAGCUAGCCUUGAACUCAUGAUGAUCCUCCUGUCUCAGCCUCCCAAGUACUGGGAUUACAUCAUUUCCAACCAUAGUGUAUUUUUGGAAUCAUUAGUGACUUGUGUGGCUGAGGUUCGUUCCUUUCCUAUUGCAUCCAUUACAUCCAUUCUGUACGCCAUUAGAACUACAUCUGGCUUCCUGUUCCUGCCCUGAGCAUUCUUGAGCAUAGAGCAGUACUCCCUCUAGGACAGGAGUCUCUGAAGGUGUGAUAAGGGAGAGACGCUCAGGGUCUGCGCAGCUGUCGUUUGGGGUGCUACUGCCAUCUAGUGUCAAGUGCAGGAUAUCCUGGGCAUCCUGACAACUUCGUGGCUCCCACAACUGUGAGACCCGCCCCAAAUACACACAAAGAAUUGUUUAGUUCCUAUGUCAGGUAGGGAAACCCUGCCUUAAAUAUGUGGAAUGGCUUUU